GGGGGGGGGGGGGGGGGGGGCGGGGGGGGGGGGGGCGAGCGAGGGCGUCGGGUCGAGUGGCGCACGGGUGCGUAACGCGUGGGAACCUGCCCUUAGGUUCGGAAUAACUCCCCGAAAGGGGUGCUAAUACCGGAUAAUGUCUUCGGACCAAAGAUUUAUCGCCUUUGGAUGGGCCCGCGUUGGAUUAGCUAGUUGGUAGGGUAAAAGCCUACCAAGGCGACGAUCCAUAGCUGGUCUGAGAGGAUGAUCAGCCACACUGGGACUGAGACACGGCCCAGACUCCUACGGGAGGCAGCAGUGGGGAAUAUUGGACAAUGGGCGAAAGCCUGAUCCAGCAAUGCCGCGUGAGUGAUGAAGGCCUUAGGGUUGUAAAGCUCUUUUACCCGGGAUGAUAAUGACAGUACCGGGAGAAUAAGCUCCGGCUAACUCCGU
rnacentral:rRNA from 1 species